rnacentral:rRNA from 1 species
AUUGAACGCUGGCGGCAUGCCUUACACAUGCAAGUCGAACGGUAACAGGUCUUCGGAUGCUGACGAGUGGCGAACGGGUGAGUAAUACAUCGGAACGUGCCCGAUCGUGGGGGAUAACGAAGCGAAAGCUUUGCUAAUACCGCGUAAGAUCUACGGAUGAAAGCAGGGGACCGCAAGGCCUUGCGCGAACGGAGCGGCCGAUGGCAGAUUAGGUAGUUGGUGGGAUAAAAGCUUACCAAGCCGACGAUCUGUAGCUGGGCUGAGAGGACGACCAGCCACACUGGGACUGAGACACGGCCCAGACUCCUACGGGAGGCAGCAGUGGGGAAUUUUGGACAAUGGGCGAAAGCCUGAUCCAGCCAUGCCGCGUGCAGGAUGAAGGCCUUCGGGUUGUAAACUGCUUUUGUACGGAACGAAAAGACUCUGGUUAAUACCUGGGGUCCAUGACGGUACCGUAAGAAUAAGCACCGGCUAACUACGUGCCAGCCGCCGCCGUAAGAC